GUGGAGGGGAUAGGGCGCCGAUGGGUGAGAGGCGGGGUGGCGCUCCCCGGUGGAGUGGGCAGUUUUUAGGGUGGUACAAGUAGCAUGUGGGGAGAGGGGGGAGCUCUUUGGACAUUCUAGCCUUAAUACUGCUUUCGUCGGCAUGGGAGCGCCUCUCUGAAUACAGAGAAUCAGCAUUGAUGCUGUCAGAGUAAGUCAUCAUGACUUCUAUGUUCUUAUACGGGGUGGUGCAUCCCUGCGCCCCGGAGGUGCCACUAAACAAAGCGUGGGUGUUGCUUUGCUUCUCAGAGUCUCUGCUGUAAAUAAUCAGGAGAGUCUGCACCAUAACCAGCCAGGGAAUCCUUAAAUCCAGAGCCCACAAGAGAGCUGGAGUCGUCUCUGUGGAUACAAGUUUGUUUUCAAAUGGUUUCCUGCUGACUGAACCUGGACCAGCAAAUGGACUGAUCCGAUGUGGUGGACACUGGGAGGGCACUUAAUAUUAUAAGCAUUCUGAUGGCAUUUUA